AUUGAACGCUGGCGGCAGGCCUAACACAUGCAAGUCGAGCGGAUGAAGGGAGCUUGCUCUCUGAUUCAGCGUCGGACGGGUGAGUAAUGCCUAGGAAUCUGCCUGGUAGUGGGGGACAACGUUUCGAAAGGAACGCUAAUACCGCAUACGUCCUACGGGAGAAAGCAGGGGACCUUCGGGCCUUGGGCUAUCAGAUGAGCCUAGGUCGGAUUAGCUAGUUGGUGAGGUAAUGGCUCACCAAGGCGACGAUCCGUAACUGGUCUGAGAGGAUGAUCAGUCACACUGGAACUGAGACACGGUCCAGACUCCUACGGGAGGCAGCAGUGGGGAAUAUUGGACAAUGGGCGAAAGCCUGAUCCAGCCAUGCCGCGUGUGUGAAGAAGGUCUUCGGAUUGUAAAGCACUUUAAGUUGGGAGGAAGGGUUGCUGAUUAAUACUCUGCAAUUUUGACGUCACCGACAGAAUAAGCACCGGCUAACUCUGUGCCAGCCGCCGCGGUAACAC
rnacentral:rRNA from 1 species